rnacentral:rRNA from 1 species
UGGGGAAUAUUGCACAAUGGGCGAAAGCCUGAUGCAGCAACGCCGCGUGAGGGACGACGGCCUUCGGGUUGUAAACCUCUUUUAGCAAGGAAGAAGCGAAAGUGACGGUACUUGCAGAAAAAGCGCCGGCUAACUACGUGCCAGCAGCCGCGGUAAUACGUAGGGCGCAAGCGUUAUCCGGAAUUAUUGGGCGUAAAGAGCUCGUAGGCGGUUUGUCGCGUCUGCUGUGAAAACCCGAGGCUCAACCUCGGGCCUGCAGUGGGUACGGGCAGACUAGAGUGCGGUAGGGGAGAUUGGAACUCCUGGUGUAGCGGUGGAAUGCGCAGAUAUCGGGAAGAACACCGAUGGCGAAGGCAGAUCUCUGGGCCGUAACUGACGCUGAGGAGCGAAAGGGUGGGGAGCAAACAGGCUUAGAUACCCUGGUAGUCCACCCCGUAAACGUUGGGAACUAGUUGUGGGGUCCAUUCCACGGAUUCCGUGACGCAGCUAACGCAUUAAGUUCCCCGCCUGGGGAGUACGGCCGCAAGGCUAAAACUCAAAUGAAUUGACGGGGUCAUAGCUGUUUCCU